GCACUGCUGAGGAGUCCCAUAAUAGGACGAAACAGCUGUUCAGUGC
rnacentral:hammerhead_ribozyme from 1 species